CUUUUUCUUUAAUCAUCUAAUAUUAAUUUGACAAUCUAGUGUUAAUCGUGUAUUUAAUUGUUAGUAUAUACUCAAUUUAGGGUUAUUCGAAGUUGGAUAAUUGAACUAUUGGUUAUAGAAAGUCGAAGAAUUUAACGUAAUUUUUGGAGUCUAGUUUGAUGAUUGAGUCAAUUUUGGUUGCUUAUUUGUGAAUUGUAGUUUAUUUAUUUUAUUUUAUAGGAAAAACACAAAUUCACAAAUUCCGGGGGUAAGGGAAUGGUUUCAGGGGUAGGGGUUUCGAGUCUACGGCGGUUUAGAGUUAGGGAAAGGGGUGGGGGUUUCGGGUGGACAAACAGUACAGUCGUCAAAACCACUUCGUCAGUGAGUUUUCUUCUCUUCUUCUAAAUCGCAGCUUUUUUUUUUUAUUCAACAUUAAUUUCAGUUUUUUUAAUUUAUCUAAUUCCUGAUAUUUUGUUUGUGUGGUUUGAUUUUUUUUUUCAUUGGGUAGGUUAAACAAAUUAUCAAAAAUGUAUUUGCAAUUCUACAUCAACGAUAAUGGCGACAAAGUCUACACUACCAAGAUUCAUUCUAUCUCUCUUUCUUUCCUUUUUUUUUUAAUUAGCUCAAAUCGUUUAAAAUUUUAAUUUUUUGUUUAAUUUGCAUAUAAUUUCAUUGGGUGCUUUUUAUUUUAAAUAGUAUGGGUAAAUUAAUAUUAGUGCUUUGAUGAUAUGUUGCUUGUUGUAGUGAAAGAUUUGAUGAAAAAUGAAGCAUGGAUUGAAUAUAAUAUGAUAAUAUCACAUUAUUAUUGGAACACCCUUGUUGGAUUGAUUAAUUAAUUUUAUGAAAUUCUAAUUUUAGGGUUCAUAAUUCGAAGUAAUGAUUUAAUUUCAUGUGGUAUUGCAGAAGGAAUCGCCUGUUGGUAAAGCCACAGAAUCAGCUCACCCAGGUAAAAUUGUAGCUACCACCUUAAACACAUUGCAUUUGUUUAAAUUGAACAAUUUGUGUUGUUGUUAUUGUUGUUGUUGGUAUGUGCUAGUAAACCCUUUUUGAAGAAGGUGAAACGGAAUUUGAUUGAAUUUUGUUGAUGAUUAAGUUUUUGUCGUUGCAUUUGUGUAGCCUUAUGAGGCUUAUUUCGAUUGUUAUGCUAAAAAUGUUAUGGUUUCAUAAUUGUUAAUGGAAUUCAAGGUUGAUUUCGAGUUGUUGUGCAUUCAUGGAUGAUUACUGUCAUGGUUUUCCGAUUGUUAAAACUUUUGGUUUGGUAUUGCUUCGACUUGCUAAUAGGAAUAUUUUCAGUAGUUGGUUGGUCUGAUUGGUCUUUGAAAACUUAAGUCGUUAUUACUUUUUGUCCAUCUGAAUUUGUAAUUACUCAACUAUGACUGGAGUACAAGGGAGAUUGGUUUUUUAUUUUUGCAUUUGUACGAUUCUUCUCUUAUGUAGGGUGAUCGUUGAAACCCUUGAAUUCUGUUAGCUGUAACGAGAUAGUAAAUCUUUUUCACAUUUUUUAUUCUCAGGAGAAUAGGAAAUAAAACAUAUAGGAGAUAUGGUUCUUCGUCAACUUCAACUGAGCAUUAUGUCGUUAGGUAUGAUACUAUGAUCUCAAAUAUUAUGACUGAAAUAUGGUUUUUUUUUUAAAUAAUGUUUCGUGGCUUUCUUGAUAUAAUGCAGUAAAGAUUUGCAGUUAUUCUUAUUUUAAUUUUACCUAUCUAGGUCUGAGUAAGCAUUUAAUUUGAAGGAUGUAAACCUCCGCAAGAUCAAUGCUUCCCCACAACGUGAUACUAAGCUUACCAAAUCAGAUAUCAAGGAGAGGAUUAAUAGGCUUUCUCAACUUUUAUCAAAUAAGGAACUUCAAUAUUCGAGAGGCUAUACAGCUUCUCUUCGAGGAAAUGUUGAUUUUGAUCAUAAGACCAGACACUCUAACAUGAGAGAAGGUAAUUCAGCUUUUCCAGGAGUGGACAGUUCUUGCAUUAUCAACGUUGAGGCUAUUGCUGAAGCUGAUGGUGCAAAGCAUGAUCAGAAGACGGGUAAAGGUAAAUCUAUCAAAGAUUUAGCUGAGUGUAUAGUCGAGCUGAGACUAAUAAGGAGAUUCAUAAUGAAGAGACAAGUGGAUCAGAGAAAAUUACUACAAGAGGACAGAACCCCAAUGAUAAAGUUGGUGAUGUUGAAAAUACUACGCCAAAUGAGCAUUUCCAUAGAAGUGUGGUUGGAGGUGUUCAACAAGAUGAAACAGUUGAAAGUGUACAUGGAGAAGAAAGGCAAGUAAGUAAACGUAAGAGAAAUAUAAUGAACGAUAUACAAAUAUCUUUAAUUGAAAGGGUGCUGCAGGAUGAACCUGAUAUCCAUAAGUACAUAGCUUCUUUACAAUUAUGGGCUAACAGAUUAAGUUCACAUGGUUCAGAAAUCACAUCUUUACAGUUAAAAAAUUGGUGAGCCAACUUUCCCUUGAGGUUUAUUACAUUAUCAACUACAUUAUUUAUUUCUGAUUAAAACUUAGAGAUGUCUGUUUUCUCUUCAGUUUUCUAUCCUGCGUUGUUCAGCUAGUUUAAUAAGAUGAUGCCCCUCCUUACCUAGCCUGUUUCCACUCUUAAUAUUAGAAAAGCAUUGAAGGUUCAGUUCUAAAUUUCUGAAACCAACAGUCAAUUGUUUGCACGAGUGCUGUUUCAGAGCCAUCAACUGACUUCUAUGCCUUGUGAUGUUGAACUAAUACUAUUGUUUUCAACCGAUAAUUUGCUCAACAUGUAUAUACAGUUACGCGGUUUGCAGGUAGGGGAAGGGUGCCAAUAUAUGACCUGAUCCGCUAGGUCUGAUGCUCAAGUACAAGCAAUAUAUCUGUCUUCUUGGUCAGCUUAAACUUUUAUGAAAGUUUUAAUGGUGAUUUUGCUUUUUCAGGAGUAAAGGUCGCUGCACUCGACUAAUGCUAUGAUCGGAAUGCUUCUAAUGCUAGCUUAAUUAGUCUGCCUGAGAGCCUUUUGCAUGUCAAUGUUGUUUGUACUUAUGUAACAUUGUAUGUUAUUUAUUUUUUUGACGAAAAUUGUAAUA